rnacentral:rRNA from 1 species
AGUCGAGCGAACGGACGAGAAGCUUGCUUCUCUGAUGUUAGCGGCGGACGGGUGAGUAACACGUGGAUAACCUACCUGUAAGACUGGGAUAACUUCGGGAAACCGGAGCUAAUACCGGAUAAUAUUUUGAACCGCAUGGUUCAAAAGUGAAAGACGGUCUUGCUGUCACUUAUAGAUGGAUCCGCGCUGCAUUAGCUAGUUGGUAAGGUAACGGCUUACCAAGGCAACGAUGCAUAGCCGACCUGAGAGGGUGAUCGGCCACACUGGAACUGAGACACGGUCCAGACUCCUACGGGAGGCAGCAGUAGGGAAUCUUCCGCAAUGUGCGAAAGCCUGACGGAGCAACGCCGCGUGAGUGAUGAAGGUGUUCGGAUCGUAAAACUCUGUUAUUAGGGAAGAACAUAUGUGUAAGUAACUGUGCACAUCUUGACGGUACCUAAUCAGAAAGCCACGGCUAACUACGUGCCAGCAGCCGCGGUAAUACGUAGGUGGCAAGCGUUAUCCGGAAUUAUUGGGCGUAAAGCGCGCGUAGGCGGUUUUUUAAGUCUGAUGUGAAAGCCCACGGCUCAACCGUGGAGGGUCAUUGGAAACUGGAAAACUUGAGUGCAGAAGAGGAAAGUGGAAUUCCAUGUGUAGCGGUGAAAUGCGCAGAGAUAUGGAGGAACACCAGUGGCGAAGGCGACUUUCUGGUCUGUAACUGACGCUGAUGUGCGAAAGCG